GAUUAACGCUAGCGGCAGGCCUAAUACAUGCAAGUCGAACGGCAGCACGGGUAGCAAUACCUGGUGGCGAGUGGCGCACGGGUGCGUAACGCGUAUGCAAUCUACCUAUAACUGGGGAAUAGCCUUCCGAAAGGAAGAUUAAUACCGCAUAAUAUCACGAGGCGGCAUCGUUUUGUGAUCAAAUCUCCGGAGGUUAUAGAUGAGCAUGCGUGACAUUAGCUAGUUGGUGAGGUAACGGCUCACCAAGGCUACGAUGUCUAGGGGGUCUGAGAGGAUGAUCCCCCACACUGGUACUGAGACACGGACCAGACUCCUACGGGAGGCAGCAGUAAGGAAUAUUGGACAAUGGCCGCAAGGCUGAUCCAGCCAUGCCGCGUGCAGGAUGAAGGUGCUCUGCAUUGUAAACUGCUUUUGUUUGGGAAUAAACCCCUCUACGUGUAGAGGGCUGAAUGUACCAAAAGAAUAAGGGACGGCUAACUUCGUGCCAGCCGCCGCCGUAAUAC
rnacentral:rRNA from 1 species